rnacentral:rRNA from 1 species
UCAAAUCACGCUGAAACACCGGUUCUCGUUCGAUCACCGAAGUUAAGCAUCGUAGAGCCAGAUCAGUACUUAGAUGGGGGACCGCUUGGGAACACCUGGUACUGUAAG